rnacentral:rRNA from 1 species
GUGCCAGCAGCCGCGGUAAGACGAACCGUGCGAACGUUGUUCGGAAUCACUGGGCUUAAAGGGCGCGUAGGCGGAUCGACCAGUCUGUGGUGAAAUCCUUCAGCUUAACUGGAGAAGUGCCGUGGAUACUGUCGGUCUCGAGGAGGAUAGGGGCAUCUGGAACUGCCGGUGGAGCGGUGAAAUGCGUUGAUAUCGGCAGGAACUCCGGUGGCGAAGGCGAGAUGCUGGAUCCUUUCUGACGCUGAGGCGCGAAAGCCAGGGGAGCAAACGGGAUUAGAUACCCUUGUAGUCC